rnacentral:rRNA from 1 species
UACGGAGGGUGCAAGCGUUAUCCGGAUUCACUGGGUUUAAAGGGUGCGUAGGUGGGCAGGUAAGUCAGUGGUGAAAUCUCCGAGCUUAACUCGGAAACUGCCGUUGAUACUAUUUGUCUUGAAUAUUGUGGAGGUAAGCGGAAUAUGUCAUGUAGCGGUGAAAUGCUUAGAUAUGACAUAGAACACUAAUUGCGAAGGCAGCUUACUACACAACGAUUGACGCUGAGGCACGAAAGCGUGGGGAUCAAACAGG